rnacentral:snRNA from 1 species
GUGCUCGCUUCGGCAGCACAUAUACUAAAAUUGGAAUGAUACAGAGAAGAUCAGCAUGGCCCCUGUGCAAGGUUGACACGCAAAUCUGUGAAGCAUUCCAUAUAAAA